UUUGAUUGCUCCACUCCACUCCCUGAUUGUGCGACAUUGUUUGUUAACAUUUCAUUCAUAGAUUUCAAUCAACAAGCAAAUUGAAAAACCCCAACCAGAUUCUGAAGUUUCUGAUUCAUACCAGUGAUUUCUAUCCUCCCGUGUUUUCAGCAACCCCCAGAAACAGAGUCACCGGCGAUAUUCACAGAUGAUCGUUCAUAAAGCCUGAUACUUUGUUAGAGAACAAGAGGGAAGAUGAUGGGUUCCGAUUGGGCAUGCACAAAUUCCAAAGCCGGCGGCCAAUGGGUUACGUUCGUUUUGCUGUCACCAUGUCCGCAGAGGUUGAUGCUCUCAUCGCUCGAUCUCCUCUUCUUGCUCCUCCUUACCAUCUUCGCAAUCUCCAAGCUUGUUCAACGCCGGUCGUCGUCUGAACAGAACGACGACGUUAAGCCUCUGUUGCAGACGGGGCCUUCUUCUUCUCCUUCUCCGACCACAACAGACGUCUGGUUCAAGCUAGCUCUCAUAUCCACUCUUCUAUCAGCAGCUUCCUCCGCUGUCUUCUGCAUUCUCGCCUUCAUUGGCG
rnacentral:lncRNA from 1 species